CUGUGAUGGGGAAGCUCCUUAUGGAGCGAAGUCUUUGAUUCCCCGCUGCCAAGAAAAGCUUCUAGCGAGAUAAAAGGUGCCUGUACCGCAAACCGACACAGGUAGGCGAGGAGAGAAUCCUAAGGUGUGCGAGAGAACUCUGGUUAAGGAACUCGGCAAAAUGACCCCGUAACUUCGGGAGAAGGGGUGCUUUCUUAACGGAAAGCCGCAGUGAAUAGGCCCAAGCGACUGUUUAGCAAAAACACAGGUCUCUGCGAAGCCGUAAGGCGAAGUAUAGGGGCUGACACCUGCCCGGUGCUGGAAGGUUAAGGAGAGGGGUUAGCGUAAGCGAAGCUCUGAACUGAAGCCCCAGUAAACGGCGGCCGUAACUAUAACGGUCCUAAGGUAGCGAAAUUCCUUGUCGGGUAAGUUCCGACCCGCACGAAAGGUGUAACGAUUUGGGCACUGUCUCAACCAGAGACUCGGUGAAAUUAUAGUACCUGUGAAGAUGCAGGUUACCCGCGACAGGACGGAAAGACCCCGUGGAGCUUUACUGUAGCCUGAUAUUGAAUUUUGGUACAGUUUGUACAGGAUAGGCGGGAGCCAUUGAAACCGGAGCGCUAGCUUCGGUGGAGGCGCUGGUGGGAUACCGCCCUGACUGUAUUGAAAUUCUAACCUACGGGUCUUAUCGACCCGGGAGACAGUGUCAGGUGGGCAGUUUGACUGGGGCGGUCGCCUCCUAAAGUGUAACGGAGGCGCCCAAAGGUUCCCUCAGAAUGGUUGGAAAUCAUUCGUAGAGUGCAAAGGCAUAAGGGAGCUUGACUGCGAGACCUACAAGUCGAGCAGGGACGAAAGUCGGGCUUAGUGAUCCGGUGGUUCCGCAUGGAAGGGCCAUCGCUCAACGGAUAAAAGCUACCCCGGGGAUAACAGGCUUAUCUCCCCCAAGAGUCCACAUCGACGGGGAGGUUUGGCACCUCGAUGUCGGCUCAUCGCAUCCUGGGGCUGUAGUCGGUCCCAAGGGUUGGGCUGUUCGCCCAUUAAAGCGGUACGCGAGCUGGGUUCAGAACGUCGUGAGACAGUUCGGUCCCUAUCCGUCGUGGGCGUAGGAAAUUUGAGAGGAGCUGUCCUUAGUACGAGAGGACCGGGAUGGACGCACCGCUGGUGUACCAGUUGUUCUGCCAAGGGCAUAGCUGGGUAGCUAUGUGCGGAAGGGAUAAGUGCUGAAAGCAUCUAAGCAUGAAGCCCCCCUCAAGAUGAGAUUUCCCAUAGCGUAAGCUAGUAAGAUCCCUGAAAGAUGAUCAGGUUGAUAGGUUCGAGGUGGAAGCAUGGUGACAUGUGGAGCUGACGAAUACUAAUAGAUCGAGGACUUAACCAU
rnacentral:rRNA from 1 species